rnacentral:rRNA from 1 species
AUUGAACGCUGGCGGCAUGCCUUACACAUGCAAGUCGAACGGCAGCGGGGACUUCGGUCCGCCGGCGAGUGGCGAACGGGUGAGUAAUGUAUCGGAACGUACCAUUGAGUGGGGGAUAACUAUCCGAAAGGAUAGCUAAUACCGCAUAUUCUCUCCGGAGGAAAGCAGGGGACCGCAAGGCCUUGCGCUCAUUGAGCGGCCGAUAUCAGAUUAGCUAGUUGGUGAGGUAAAGGCUCACCAAGGCGACGAUCUGUAGCGGGUCUGAGAGGAUGAUCCGCCACACGUGAACUUAGACACGGUCCAGACUCCUACGGGAGGCAGCAGUGGGGAAUUUUGGACAAUGGGGGCAACCCUGAUCCAGCCAUGCCGCGUGAGUGAGGAAGGCCUUCGGGUUGUAAAGCUCUUUCGGCCGGGAAAAAAUCGCAUGGGUUAAUACCCUGUGUGGAUGAUGGUACCGGAAUAAGAAGCACCGGCUAACUACGUGCCAGCCGCCGCGGUAA